AGUGAACGCUGGCGGUAGGCCUAACACAUGCAAGUCGAACGGCAGCACAGUAAGAGCUUGCUCUUACGGGUGGCGAGUGGCGACGGGUGAGGAAUACAUCGGAAUCUACUUUUUCGUGGGGGAUAACGUAGGGAAACUUACGCUAAUACCGCAUACGACCUACGGGUGAAAGCAGGGGAUCUUCGGACCUUGCGCGAUUGAAUGAGCCGAUGUCGGAUUAGCUAGUUGGCGGGGUAAAGGCCCACCAAGGCGACGAUCCGUAGCUGGUCUGAGAGGAUGAUCAGCCACACUGGAACUGAGACACGGUCCAGACUCCUACGGGAGGCAGCAGUGGGGAAUAUUGGACAAUGGGCGCAAGCCUGAUCCAGCCAUACCGCGUGGGUGAAGAAGGCCUUCGGGUUGUAAAGCCCUUUUGUUGGGAAAGAAAAGCAGCAGGUUAAUACCCCGCUGUUCUGACGGUACCCAAAGAAUAAGCACCGGCUAACUUCGUG
rnacentral:rRNA from 1 species